rnacentral:rRNA from 1 species
CAAGUCGAACGUGCCCGCAAGGGCAAGUGGCGAAAGGGUCAGUAACGCGAUCGAACGUACCCCGAGGUGGGGGAUAGGGCGGGGAAACUCGCCAUAAUACCCCAUGAUGUCUACGGACCAAAGGUUUACCGCCUUGGGAGCGGCGAUCGUCCUAUCAGGUAGUUGGCGGGGUAAAGGCCCACCAAGCCUAAGACGGGUAGCGGGUGUGAGAGCACGGCCCGCGACAUCGGAACUGAGACACUGUCCGGACUCCUACGGGAGGCUGCAGUAACGAAUCUUCCGCAAUGGGCGCAAGCCUGACGGAGCAAUGCCGCGUGUGGGAUGAAGCGGCUACGCCGUGUAAACCACUGUCAGGGGGCAGAAACAAUGAUCGCCCCCAGAGGAAGAGCCGGCUAACCCUGUGCCAGCAGCCGCGGUAAUACAGGGGGCUCGAGCGUUAGUCGGAAUCACUGGGCUUAAAGGGUGCGUAGGCGGCUCGCCAAGUGCUUUGUGAAAUCCCACAGCUCAACUGUGGAACAGCAGGGCAAACUGGCGAGCUUGAGGCAGGUAGGGGCCGGAAGAACAGUUGGUGGAGCGGUGAAAUGCGUAGAUAUCAACUGGAAUGCCGAUGGGGAAGCCGUCCGGCUGGGCCUGUCCUGACGCUGAGGCACGAAAGCGUGGGGAGCAAACAGGAUUAGAUACCCUGGUAGUCCACGCCGUAAACGAUGUGCACUAGACUGGUGCGGUUUUGACGCCGUAUCAGUCGCAGUAAAAACGAUAAGUGCACCGCCUGGGGAGUACGGUCGCAAGGCUUAAAACUCAAAUGAAUUU